rnacentral:snRNA from 1 species
GGAUGUGAGGGCUAUCUGGCUGUCCCAUGUUAGCCUAUUGAUCUCCAGGGUUGAUUUGGCUGAUCUGGUUACCGGGGAUAUCUCCAUCCCUUGAAGCUCCAUGUGCAACUCUCCUGAUGCACUGAGCUCUGCUAAAGUGGACAACCUGCCCCACAUAGAGGGGGACGAGUCUUCUGUCAAAGGAAUAAGAGUAGCUGCAUCCCACCCUCCCUACUAGAACCUCCAAACAAGCUCUCAUUUGCGUGAGAUGAACCUUGAAAACCUAGUUAAUUGAUACAUAAUAAUGGUGCAUAUUUGUGGGUCAUAGUGAUACUUCAAUAUAU